UACGUAGGGUGCGAGCGUUAAUCGGAAUUACUGGGCGUAAAGCGUGCGCAGGCGGUUUUGUAAGACAGGCGUGAAAUCCCCGGGCUCAACCUGGGAACUGCGCUUGUGACUGCAAGGCUAGAGUAUGGCAGAGGGGGGUGGAAUUCCACGUGUAGCAGUGAAAUGCGUAGAGAUGUGGAGGAACACCAAUGGCGAAGGCAGCCCCCUGGGCCAAUACUGACGCUCAUGCACGAAAGCGUGGGUAGCAAACAGGAUUAGAAACCCCAGUAGUCC
rnacentral:rRNA from 1 species